CGGUGAACUUGUGCCUAUGGCAUGCACUCUCAACAGCUUUCUGAGGGUUUGAUAAGUUAUCCUUCAUGAGUGGCAUUGUGUGCAUGCGGUGAUCUUGUAUCUGUAGCAUCUAGUACUUCUCGUCUUCGUGCAAGAGGCAUUAUGUACCGGCGGCGAGCUUGUGCCUGUGGCAUGCACUCUCGGUGGCCUUCUGAGAGUUUGAUAAGUUAUCUCUUAUGAGUGACAUUGUGUGCCUGUGACGAUCUUGUGCCUACGGCAUCUAGCACUUCUCAUCUUCACACGAGAGGCAUUAUGUACCGACGGCGAGCUUGUGCCUGUGGCAUGCACUCUCGGUGGCCUUCUGAGGGUUUGAUGAGUUAUCCUUCAUGUUAGUUGACUAUCAUUAUGGUUCAUGAUCUCAAGU
rnacentral:lncRNA from 1 species